GACGAACGCUGGCGGCGUGCCUAAUACAUGCAAGUCGAGCGCAGGAAACUGACGGAACUCUUCGGAGGGAAGGCAGUGGAAUGAGCGGCGGACGGGUGAGUAACACGUAAGGAACCUGCCUCAAGGAUUGGGAUAACUCCGAGAAAUCGGAGCUAAUACCGGAUAGUUCAUCGGACCGCAUGGUCCGCUGAUGAAAGGCGCUUCGGCGUCACCUUGAGAUGGCCUUGCGGUGCAUUAGCUAGUUGGUGGGGUAACGGCCCACCAAGGCGACGGCGCAUAGCCGACCUGAGAGGGUGAUCGGCCACACGGGGACUGAGACACGGCCCAGACUCCUACGGGAGGCAGCAGUAGGGAAUCUUCCACAAUGGACGAAAGUCUGAUGGAGCAACGCCGCGUGAGUGAUGAAGGUUUUCGGAUCGUAAAACUCUGUUGUAAGGGAAGAACACGUACGAGAGGGAAUGCUCGUACCUUGACGGUACCUUACGAGGAAGCCACGGCUAACUACGUGCCAGCCGCCGCGGUAA
rnacentral:rRNA from 1 species